UCUGAAGAAAAAUGUGUCUUGCAAGCGAGCGCCUUUCAUGGUCCCCACGAUCAAGGAAUGGAAUGUAUCUCGAGAAGGCUGCACUCCGUCAAGCAUCAUAUCAUCGUACACAUCCCUCAAUAGAAAAUACUUGCGUUGAGCAGUGAGAGAGCCAACAACAGUAUUGUAUUCUGAGACAUUAUUAGCGUAAUUACGCUUGGCAUACUCUUCGGUGGACACAGCGAAGUAACGGCGACCCAACCCUCGAAGCAGUGGUCGCCGGUGACCAAAAAUUGAUUGAAUUAGGAGUUUCAUUGUUUGAGGGUGGAGUAAACAGUAGACAGUAGGGUUUAGUGCAGAGUUUCUCUGAAAUCAGAAAACCCUUUCAGCCUCUACAAAUUAUUUUUGCAAAUU
rnacentral:misc_RNA from 1 species